rnacentral:rRNA from 1 species
AUUGAACGCUGGCGGCAUGCCUUACACAUGCAAGUCGAACGGCAGCACGGGAGUAAUCCUGGUGGCGAGUGGCGAACGGGUGAGUAAUACAUCGGAACGUGCCCAGUAGUGGGGGAUAGCCCGGCGAAAGCCGGAUUAAUACCGCAUACGACCUACGGGUGAAAGCGGGGAGUCGCAAGACCUCGCGCUAUCGGAGCGGCCGAUGUCAGAUUAGGUUGUUGGUGGGG